UCGCAAAGAGUCAGACACGGCUGAAGCGACUUGGCACACAGAGCACACAGCCUGCUUCCUGGACAGUUUACCUAUUCAUAAAAGGAAACCAAGUCCCAAAUCAUUUAGAUAAAUAGUACUUCUGCAAGCAUUAUGCUCACGUAGCCUCUCAUGGGGCUUCCUGGGUAGCUCAGCUGGUAAAAAAUCCGCCUGCAAUGCUGGAGACCCUGGUUCGAUUCCUGGGUCAGGAAGUUCCUCUGGACAAGGGAUAAGCUACGCACUCCAGUUUUCAUGGACUUCCCUGGUAGCUCAGAUGGUAAAGAAUCUGCCUGCAAUGCGGAAGACAAGGUUCGAUCCCUGGAUGGGGAAGAUCCCUUGCAGGAGGCAUGGCAACCAACUCCAGCGUUCUUGUCUGGAGAACCCCUGUGGACAGAGGAGCUUCUGGCGGUCCUUCUGUGGUUGCAAAGAGUUGGACAAGACUGAGUGGCUAAGCACAGCACAGCACAGCCUCCCACGGAAAGCCUUGAAAACACAUUUUUAGAAAUUUCUCCUUUCUCCCAUGGCACCCUGAAGUGCACUGAGAUUUAACUUUUCUUGCAUUCUGUCAUUUUUAAAAUAAAAUCUUUUUUUUCCCUUAUGGUAGAAUAAACUGUUCGAAUGCUUUUGGACAACCUGGAUUCUAAUAGUUUUCACAGGUCAUUAGUGUAUCUGACUGAAUUAAAUAUUGAAU